rnacentral:rRNA from 1 species
CAGCUAGUUGGUGGGGUAAGAGCCUACCAAGGCAGAGAUCGGUAGCCGGCCUGAGAGGGCACACGGCCACACUGGCACUGAAACACGGGCCAGACUCCUACGGGAGGCAGCAGUGGGGAAUCUUGCACAAUGGGGGAAACCCUGAUGCAGCGACGCCGCGUGAGCGAUGAAGCCCUUCGGGGUGUAAAGCUCUUUCGUCAGGGAAGAUAGUGACGGUACCUGGAGAAGCAGCUGCGGCUAACUACGUGCCAGCAGCCGCGGUAAUACGUAGGCAGCAAGCGUUGUUCGGAGUUACUGGGCGUAAAGGGUGUGUAGGCGGUUCCUUAAGUUUGCUGUGAAAUCUCCCGGCUUAACCGGGAGGGUGCGGUGAAUACUGAGGGACUAGAGUACGGGAGAGGAAAGUGGAAUUCCUGGUGUAGCGGUGAAAUGCGUAGAUAUCAGGAGGAACACCGGUGGUGUAGACGGCUUUCUGGACCGUAACUGACGCU